GAUUCCAUGACCCAAUGGAUAAGGCGUUGGUCUACGGAACCAGAGAUUCUGCGUUCGAUCCCCAGUGGAGUCG
rfam:Vigna angularis cultivar Jingnong 6 scaffold291_156, whole genome shotgun sequence.